CUUGAGCAGAGUCAUGCCAAGUGGGCAGAGACCGUGCAGUUGGCACCAGAUGUGAUUAAUAUGACAUUUACACCAAUUGUUUCUCUGCUUGAAGGAGCACCUGGCAUGAAGCAUUUAGCCCGGGCAAUUGAUUUAUACUUGGAGUACAAGCCACCUAUAGAGGACUUGCAGUAUUUCUUGGAUUUUCAAAUUGCUCGAGUUUGGGCUCCAGAACCGAAUAACCUUCAAAGAAAGGAGCCUGUUUGCCA
rnacentral:misc_RNA from 1 species